AUUAAAAUAAAAUAAGAAAAAAGAUAAUGAAAUUAAUUUAUUUUUAAUAAAAAUAUAAUAAGACAAGACUUAGACUUAAUUAAAAAAAAUAAAGAGUGUAUAAAAUAAUAAAAUAGAAAAAUUGAAAGAGCGUUGGAAAUUAAAGAGAGUGUAUAAAAUAAUUGUUUAAAGAAAUUGAAAGAGUAAUAGGAAUUAAAGAGUGUAAAGAAUAAUUGUGUAGAGAAUUUGAUAUUUAUAUAAAUGAAUUAGGAGUGGGGAGGGAUAUUUAUUGAGUUCUUUUUAAUUUAAAUGGUCAGUUUGGUUUGAUUUGCAAUAGACGGUUUAAUUUGGUUUUAAACCAUCGGUUUAUGGUUUCUAAAAAAUAUGAAUCUAAAUCAAACCGCAAAAAAUCAAUUUCGGUCCAAUUCGAAGCUGGUUUCAAUUUUGACUGAUUUUGGUAUGAUUUUGACCAAGUUAGUUUUGAUUCAAUUCAGAUUCAAAAUCAGGUCGUGCCCACCCCUACAUGGAAUGUGUGAGAGUCUUUAGUGACAAUCACAGUAUUGGUAUGCGAAGGAGGUGUUAGAUAAACAUAUAGAGCAAGACUCUGGAGGCUGUUUUGUCUUGUAAGUUGUAAAUGAAUGGACUUAUAUUAGAUGAAAGCUUUUGACGUUCAACUGUAUGAUUUUUGUUGCAGGAAGAAAGAGAAGCAAAAUCUUGUGUAAGAGAAUAAGGGGAUGGAAGAAGUACUGUUAUGUUUUCUCCUACCUAUGACAGUGUGUACAGAAACAAAAGUUUGGACUGAUCUAUAGAUUCCAAAAAAGGAUGGUUUUGGUAUAUUCUUAGCUGCUUUGAGCAAGCCUCUGUCAAUUCAACACAGUUAAUGGAAACUUCUGCUCUUGAGAAAGGACUCUCUUUGCAUUGUUUCUACAGAGUUGUGGUGGAAACAGAUUGCAACAACUGCUAAUACUGGUCAUUGGAGGACCAUGUGAGUAAGGUGGAUGGCUAUGUCUUUGUGAGAUAUGUGUGCUAAUAGCGUUUUGCUUGGCACCUGAGCUAACCAAAUUUUGGGACAGUACUAGAUGAUGUUCGUGCAUGCUGAUGGCCGAAAUAUCAUUAAGCCAAACGUUCCCUUUCAGUUUUCAUUAUGUGGAUCACGGUAGUUAUCGUUUUCAAUUUAUUCGCGCAAAAAAUUACAUUAUUUAUUUAUUUAUUUCUAUAUGACAUGUGUCAUGUGAGAAUGAAUGCACGAACUUGUAUAUGACGUAGUCAUGAGUUGGGAUGGUAACUUGUUCACAAA
rnacentral:misc_RNA from 1 species